rnacentral:rRNA from 1 species
ACGAACGCUGGCGGCGUGCUUAACACCUGCAAGUCGAACGGAAAGGCCCUGCUUUUGUGGGGUGUUCGAGUGGCGAACGGGUGAGUAACACGUGAGUAACCUGCCCUUGACUUUGGGAUAACUUCAGGAAACUGGGGCUAAUACCGGAUAGGAGCUCCUGCUGCAUGGUGGGGGUUGGAAAGUUUCGGCGGUUGGGGAUGGACUCGCGGCUUAUCAGCUUGUUGGUGGGGUAGUGGCUUACCAAGGCUUUGACGGGUAGCCGGCCUGAGAGGGUGACCGGCCACAUUGGGACUGAGAUACGGCCCAGACUCCUACGGGAGGCAGCAGUGGGGAAUAUUGCACAAUGGGCGGAAGCCUGAUGCAGCAACGCCGCGUGCGGGAUGACGGCCUUCGGGUUGUAAACCGCUUUCGCCUGUGACGAAGCGUGAGUGACGGUAAUGGGUAAAGAAGCACCGGCUAACUACGUG